GUUCUUACUUCGACAGCACAUAUACUAAAAUUGGAAUGAUAAAGAGAAGACUAGCAUAACCCCUGUGCAAGAAUGACAUGCAAAUUCAUGAAACAUUCCAAAUUUUA
rnacentral:snRNA from 1 species